rnacentral:rRNA from 1 species
UACGUAGGGUGCAAGCGUUGUCCGGAAUUAUUGGGCGUAAAGAGCUCGUAGGCGGUUUGUCGCGUCGGCUGUGAAAACCUGAGGCUCAACCUCGGGCCUGCAGUCGAUACGGGCAAACUAGAGUUCGGUAGGGGAGACUGGAAUUCCUGGUGUAGCGGUGGAAUGCGCAGAUAUCAGGAGGAACACCGGUGGCGAAGGCGGGUCUCUGGGCCGUUACUGACGCUGAGGAGCGAAAGCGUGGGGAGCGAACAGG